GGGGAUGAUCGGUUUCGACGGUAAUGAUUACCGAAGGGAAGCGGGUAGAGGAUGCACAGUUAUCUCUUUAACGAUCUGUGCGAAAAAAUAACUGCCAACAAGCAGAAGUCUGAUUUCGCCCUCGCUGCCUAAGCGCGAGCGCACAUACAUGAAAUCCGUCAGCCUCACGUUGCUUUCGCGUGAGAUGUCUGGCGUCGCUUAGAAAGCCACUGGCACCAGUAGUUCGUCAUUAACCGCUGGGCAACACCCAAUUGACUAUGUUCGUCGGCAACUUGUUCGCGAGAGUGCCGGAGCUGAAAACAACGCUUAGCGAACUGCACCCGGAGAAGCCUUGGGUUCCUCCUUAUCGGACGCGGGUUCAAUUCCCGCCAUCUCCACAG
rnacentral:tmRNA from 1 species